CGUCUAUAUACGUAUAGCAUAUCAAUAAGCGGAGGAAAAGAAACUAACUAGGAUUCCCUUCAGUAACGGCGAGUGAAGCGGGAAGAGCUCAAAUUUGAAAUCUUCAAGGUUUCUACCUUGACGAGUUGUAGUUUAAAGAAGUGUUUUCUGUUGGAAUUUUUGGUAAAAGUUCUUUGGAAUAGGACAUCAUAGAGGGUGAGAAUCCCGUAUUUGACCAUUACUUCCAGCUUUGUGAUACACUUUCAAAGAGUCGGAUUGUUUGGGAAUGCAGUCCAAAAUGGGUGGUAAAUUCUCAUCUAAAGCUAAAUAUUGGCGAGAGACCGAUAGCGAACAAGUACCGUGAGGGAAAGAUGAAAAGAACUUUGAAAAGAGAGUUAAACAGUACGUGAAAUUGUCAAAAGGGAAGCGUUUGACACCAGUGUUGUUUUUCUCGAAAAUCAGUUAAGAAAGGCUUGAUUUUGUGUUGUAUUGACCUUAUCAGCUUUCUUCACUCUUUUCUUGUCUUUUUUAAUGCACUUUUCGUUUAACAAGUCAACAUCAAUUUCUUUUGUUGUAAAAGGGUAUGAGGAAGGUGGCUUUCUUUUCGGAGAAAGUGUUUAUAGCCUUGUGCCUCUGCAAUCGGAGAGAUUGAGGUCUGCAGCGUAGAUCCUUCGGGGUUAGAUACGUUUGUGCUAAGUUAUAGCUUUUCAUAGACAACUUGUUGACUAUGUUUAGUCUUGUAGCUUACUCGCUGACGCUAUUUUACCUACGCUUAGGAUGUUGAUGUGAUACUGCGAGCA
rnacentral:rRNA from 1 species